GACGAACGCUGGCGGCGUGCCUAAUACAUGCAAGUCGAACGAGAGCGACCGGUGCUUGCCCUGGUCAAUCUAGUGGCGAACGGGUGAGUAACACGUGGGUAACCUGCCCAUCAGAGGGGGAUAACAUCCGGAAACGGAUGCUAAAACCGCAUAGGUCUUCGAGCCGCAUGGCUUGAAGAGGAAAAGAGGCGCAAGCUUCUGCUGAUGGAUGGACCCGCGGUGCAUUAGCUAGUUGGUGAGGUAACGGCUCACCAAGGCCGUGAUGCAUAGCCGACCUGAGAGGGUGAUCGGCCACAUUGGGACUGAGACACGGCCCAAACUCCUACGGGAGGCAGCAGUAGGGAAUCUUCCGCAAUGGACGCAAGUCUGACGGAGCAACGCCGCGUGAGUGAAGAAGGUUUUCGGAUCGUAAAACUCUGUUGUUAGAGAAGAACAAGUGCUAGAGUAACUGUUAGCGCCUUGACGGUAGCUAACCAGAAAGCCACGGCUAACUACGUG
rnacentral:rRNA from 1 species